rnacentral:rRNA from 1 species
GACGAACGCUGGCGGCGUGCUUAACACAUGCAAGUCGAACGGAAAGGCCCUGCUUUUGUGGGGUGCUCGAGUGGCGAACGGGUGAGUAACACGUGAGUAACCUGCCCUUGACUUUGGGAUAACUUCAGGAAACUGGGGCUAAUACCGGAUAGGAGCUCCUGCUGCAUGGUGGGGGUUGGAAAUUUUCGGCGGUUGGGGAUGGACUCGCGGCUUAUCAGCUUGUUGGUGGGGUAGUGGCUUACCAAGGCUUUGACGGGUAGCCGGCCUGAGAGGGUGACCGGCCACAUUGGGACUGAGAUACGGCCCAGACUCCUACGGGAGGCAGCAGUGGGGAAUAUUGCACAAUGGACGGAAGCCUGAUGCAGCAACGCCGCGUGCGGGAUGACGGCCUUCGGGUUGUAAACCGCUUUCGCCUGUGACGAAGCGUGAGUGACGGUAAUGGGUAAAGAAGCACCGGCUAACUACGUG